UGCUACGGCCAUACCACCCUGAACGUGCCCGAUCUCGUCUGAUCUCGGGGGAUGAAGUGGUCUUGGGAGAGCCCUUCCUUUUACAUGCAGAACAUUGCCUGAGUCC
ensembl:rRNA 5S_rRNA 5S ribosomal RNA